GACGAACGCUGGCGGCGUGCCUAAUACAUGCAAGUUGAGCGCUGAAGGUUGGUACUUGUACCGACUGGAUGAGCAGCGAACGGGUGAGUAACGCGUGGGGAAUCUGCCUUUGAGCGGGGGACAACAUUUGGAAACGAAUGCUAAUACCGCAUAAAAACUUUAAACACAAGUUUUAAGUUUGAAAGAUGCAAUUGCAUCACUCAAAGAUGAUCCCGCGUUGUAUUAGCUAGUUGGUGAGGUAAAGGCUCACCAAGGCGAUGAUACAUAGCCGACCUGAGAGGGUGAUCGGCCACAAUGGGACUGAGACACGGCCCAAACUCCUACGGGAGGCAGCAGCAGGGAAUCUUCGGCAAUGGACGAAAGUCUGACCGAGCAACGCCGCGUGAGUGAAGAAGGUUUUCGGAUCGGAAAACUCUGUUGGUAGAGAAGAACGUUGGUGAGAGUGGAAAGCUCAUCAAGUGACGGUAACUACCCAGAAAGGGACGGCUAACUACGUG
rnacentral:rRNA from 1 species